ACAUAACGAAAUCGAUAAGGUGCCUUUGCGUGGAGCAAAGGGUAACAGGGAAUCGGGUUCAAAUCCCGAGCGGUCCCGCCACUGUAUUCGGGGAGUUUCUUUCCAUGACGUCACUCGAUUCACCCGUCGGGGAAGGCGAAAGAACACGACGAUCCGAGAGCCAGGAGACCUACCUUAUGGAUGCACCCCAA
rnacentral:ncRNA from 2 species